rnacentral:rRNA from 1 species
AGCGAACGCUGGCGGCAGGCCUAACACAUGCAAGUCGAACGAACUCUUCGGAGUUAGUGGCGGACGGGUGAGUAACACGUGGGAACGUGCCUUUUGGUUCGGACUAACUCAGGGAAACUUGUGCUAAUACCGAAUGUGCCCUUCGGGGGAAAGAUUUAUCGCCAUUAGAGCGGCCCGCGUCUGAUUAGCUAGUUGGUGAGGUAACGGCUCACCAAGGCGACGAUCAGUAGCUGGUCUGAGAGGAUGACCAGCCACACUGGGACUGAGACACGGCCCAGACUCCUACGGGAGGCAGCAGUGGGGAAUCGUGCGCAAUGGGCGAAAGCCUGACGCAGCCAUGCCGCGUGAAUGAUGAAGGUCUUAGGAUUGUAAAAUGCUUUCACCGGGGACGAUAAUGACGGUACCCGGAGAAGAAGCCCCGGCUAACUUCGUG